rnacentral:rRNA from 1 species
UACGUAGGGAGCAAGCGUUGUCCGGAAUCAUUGGGCGUAAAGCGCGCGUAGGCGGCUCGAUCAGUCUGUUGUGAAAGUCAAAGGCUCAACCUUUGAAUGCCGAUGGAUACUGUCGAGCUAGAGUCCGGAAGAGGCGGGUGGAAUUCCUGGUGUAGCGGUGGAAUGCGCAGAUAUCAGGAGGAACACCAACGGCGAAGGCAGCCCGCUGGGACGGUACUGACGCUAAGGCGCGAAAGCGUGGGAGCGAACGAGG